rnacentral:rRNA from 1 species
UACAGAGGUCUCAAGCGUUGUUCGGAAUUACUGGGCGUAAAGGGCUCGUAGGCGGCCAACUAAGUCAGACGUGAAAUCCCUCAGCUUAACUGGGGAACUGCGUCUGAUACUGGAUGGCUUGGAUUUGGGAGAGGGAUGCGGAAUUCCCGGUGUAGCGGUGAAAUGCGCAGAUAUCGGGAGGAACACCAGUGGCGAAGGCGGCGCUCUGGGCUGGAACUGACGCUGAGGAGCGAAAGCGUGGGGAGCGAACAGG